AACGAACGCUGGCGGCAGGCUUAACACAUGCAAGUCGAGCGCCCCGCAAGGGGAGCGGCAGACGGGUGAGUAACGCGUGGGAAUCUACCCAUCUCUACGGAAUAACGCAUGGAAACGUGUGCUAAUACCGUAUACGUCCUUCGGGCGAAAGAUUUAUCGGAGAUGGAUGAGCCCGCGUUGGAUUAGCUAGUUGGUGGGGUAAAGGCCUACCAAGGCGACGAUCCAGAGCUGGUCUGAGAGGAUGAUCAGCCACACUGUGACUGAGACACGGCCCAGACUCCUACGGGAAGCAGCAGUGGGGAAUAUUGGACAAUGGGCGCAAGCCUGAUCCAGCCAUGCCGCGUGAGUGAUGAAGGCCCUAGGGUUGUAACGCUCUUUCACCGGUGAAGAUAAUGACGGUAACCGGAGAAGAAGCCCCGGCUAACUUCGUGCCAGCAGCCGCCGUAAAAC
rnacentral:rRNA from 1 species